GCCACACGCCACAUCCACAGGCUCCCCAGGCAUCGUCACCUGAACAGACAAGACCCAGCACACCGUGAGGAGGGAUGGCCUGGCGGUGGCCGAACAAGGGCCUGACCCUGGCUCUGCUCUGGAGAUUCUAGACGCAGAAAGCUGGUGCGAGCGUAGUGUCUCCUCAGGGAGCAACUUCGAAGACGGCGCACCUGCACCUGCACCUCCCCCUCAGUCCCUGCCAGGACGCUGACGCUGCUCUUCUGACCGGACCCGAAUCCUGCCGUCCCUCCCCAGUGGCAGCGCGCAGCGGGGCAGCGUGACAGCUGGAGAGGGAUCUGUAACAGCCUGCGGAGUUUACUGAGCUUUGGAGGGAAAGGCCUCGUCCAGAUGGCCUGCCCUAAAAGCCCAGAGGCAGCAACGUCAACCGUUCAGAGACAAGUCCAUUAGGGUCUCCCGGCCACAAGGCAAACGGAUGCUAGUAACCAAGUCGUGCUACUCACCCGUCCCUAAACAAACGCCUUCAGCAAAACCUGUUACAGAAAUCACUGAACAAACAUGCAGCGGUGCCCUCAGCUCAUCGCAAAGGCCCAGAGCUGCAGAAAGCGUUCCAGGCUGGCCAUAGAAGCAGAAGAAAACAUGCUGCCUGGGCUGACCAGGCCAGGUGAGCUCCUAGCAACCUCCCCGGGCCACGAGAGCACCUUUAUUGACCUUCCCCCAGGAAAGGGCCACUCUCCGUGCUGACCUGCGGCCGAGCUGUCACACUUAGGCACCUCUGUCCUUGUUCCCCAAGGGCUGUGACCAUCAGAACCCAAAGCAGAGGGAGCCACCUCGCCUUGGCUGACUCGCCGGGGCGAUGGUCGUGGCUGACGCCGGCCCCAGGAGCCUCCCUGGGGAGCAGCAGGUGGCUCCCAAGGCCCCAGCCCCCCCCCCCCCCGCCAACUGCCUCUCAGCGCAGCCUCUGAACUGAGUCCGAGAGAAGGCUGCCCUCAGCCACGUUUUAUUUGUGGCCUCAUCAGGGUUAAAAGGAGUUUCUAUUCUAAACCAGUUUACACUCACAUUGUUGCAAAGGCAAACAGUUCCAGAAAACGAACCAUAUUUGGCCUGAGUGACUCUGAAAAGUUUCAGCAGAAUCAGUGUAGGAACAGCUCUCUGCACAAGGACAAGUUCCCAAGACACACACCCCCCAGGUGAAGGACAGAGGACGGCAGAGGAGGAGCGCUGGACCAGCUGUGAUCCGGCCACCGGACUUGCCGUGUCCCCACUCAGCUGCACCCGAGAUGCCCUGCCCGGCGCCCAGAAGCCAGGCCACACCCCGGAGGGGAGCCGCUCAGCCUGCGAGGAGGUCCAGCCCCUGCGGCGCGCCCUCCCCUGGGGCAUCAGAAUUGCCGGGGCCUGUGGCUCCUGAAGCAGCCAGUGAGACAGCAGAACAGACUGGAGAAAGGUCCAACUACCCAACAAGAGACUAACCUUUAAGGAAUCCAACCUAGUUGAUCGAAAACCUGGUUCCUGUCACCACCACUCUCCCAGAGCCCCAGCCUCGCAUCUUGGAGCCGGCACGGACCUCAGCGCCAUCCUCCCGACCAAAAGGUGACACAUGGGUGAAGGAGCUCCACAGACACACAAGGGGAGACAAUGGUGUGGGGCAUGAAAGCAGCCGUCACGGGAACAGACCAGAGUGCCCUUUCCCUGAUGGCAUGGAGGCCGGGAACGACACUUCAGAGGGAUGUUUAGCGCAGGGGUCCGGCUUGACCAACGGGGCAUCCGCCCCAAGGCCUGCCACCCCACCACAGAGGCCAAGCCUGGCCCGGCCACUUGGACAACGAAAACGCUCUCAAACCUGAUUUCACAGCUGAUCUUCGCUCUAAUUGGGAGGAAAUGAAGGCAGAGAAAGCACUGGAGUCAGGGCCUGCCGAGCUCAGGGGAGCCAGCAGCCAAGGGGAGGGCUGAGAGAAAGAGCCCCUAAAAUACC